UACGAAGGGGGCUAGCGUUGUUCGGAAUUACUGGGCGUAAAGCGCGCGCAGGCGGGUCAUCAAGUCAGGGGUGGAAGCCCAGAGCUCACCUCUGGAACUGCCCUUGAAACUGGUGACCUUGAGUACGGGAGAGGUGAGUGGAAUUCCCAGUGGAGAGGUGAAAGUCGUAGAUAUUGGGAAGAACACCGGUGGCGAAGGCGGCUCACUGGCCCGUAACUGACGCUCAGGCGCGAUAGCGUGGGGAUCAAACAGG
rnacentral:rRNA from 1 species